rnacentral:rRNA from 1 species
GACGAACGCUGGCGGCGCGCCUAACACAUGCAAGUCGAACGAGCGAGCGAGAGCUUGCUUUCUUGAGCGAGUGGCGAACGGGUGAGCAACGCGUGAGGAACCUGCCUCAAAGAGGGGGACAACAGUUGGAAACGACUGCUAAUACCGCAUAAGCCCACGGUGCCGCAUGGCACAGAGGGAAAAGGAGCAAUCCGGUUUGAGAUGGCCUCGCGUCCGAUUAGCUAGUUGGUGAGGUAACGGCCCACCAAGGCGACGAUCGGGAGCCGGACUGAGGGGUUGACCGGCCACAUUGGGGCUGCGACCCGGACCAGACUCCUACGCGAGGGAGCAGUGGGGAAUAUUGCACACUGGGGGAAGCCGUGAUGCCGCGACGUCGGGUGGAGGAAGAAGGUCUUCGGAUUGUAAUCUCCUGUUGUUGGGGAAGAUAAUGACGGUACCCAACAAGGAAGUGACGGCUAACUACGUG